rnacentral:lncRNA from 1 species
CUUCCGGCGCGAGCGGCGCCGCCCCCGCCUCCAGGGGCUCCGCGCCCUGGACGCCGCCCCUCCUCCGCGCGCACCUGGGGCCCCGCCCCACCCCUCCCGCCGCCAGGUGAGAGCGGCGCCCGGCCCCGCCCCGUCCCCGGGCGACACCCACCCCGCCUCGCCCCGCCCGCCAACCCCGGCGCUAAGUUCCAGCGGCGACCGGCCCCGCCCCGCCGCCAGGUGAGCGCGCCAGGCCCCGCCCCGCCGCCAGGUGAGCAGCGCCGGGCCCAGUCCCGCGGCCAGGCCCCGCCCCGCCGCCCUGCAGGCCCCGCCCCGCCGCCCGCGGCGCCUGCGCAGUGCAGCCCGUCGGGCCGGGGCCGGGCGGCGCGGCCGGCGCAGUCGGCGGGCGCAGUGCGCGUGCGCCGUGCGGCCGGGGGCGGGCGGCGGCGGCCGCGGAGCGGGGCGGGGCGGGGCGGCGCCGUCUGGCUCGGUCGGGCCUGGGCGGGAGCGCGGCGCGGGACGGCGGGCCCGCGGGCUGCGGACGGCGGCCUCGGCGGCCGGCAGGUGAGGCCCGCGCGCCGCGGGGCAGCGGGCGCCGCGAGGGGGCGCGGGCGGGGCGGGCGGGCGGCGGCGCCGGGGAGCGGCGGGCCGCGGCGCAUUGUCCGGGCGGCGGCGCCCGCACAGCGCCCCUGCCGGCCGGGCCGCGGGCGGGGGCCUGGGCCGCGCGCCUUUGUUCGCCGCCCCCGCCAACAUGGCGGCCGCCCCCGGCCCGCCCGGCCCGCCCGGCCCGCCGCUUUGUUCCCGAGGCCGCGGCGCCGGCGGGGGGGCCGCGGCGGGGGCGGGGAGUGUUGCGUAACGCGGCCGGGCGGGGGCCGGGACCCCCGGCGGGCAGGGGCGGGGCCGGCGGGCGGGGCGGGGCGGCGCGGGGGUCCCCGGGGUCGGGGCGGCGAGGUCCGGCGGGGCCCGCGGCGGAGGGGAGGCCGGCCGGUGUCCCCGCGCGGCGCGUGCACACUCACUCCGGCGCACACACGCGCGCUCACACUCGCGCACCCUCCCUCCGCCGCGGUGACCUUGGGCGCGGAAGUGCGCAGGCCGGCCCCGGGUGCGGUCCGGCCCCGCGCCGCCUCUGCCUCCCGGGUGCGCGUCGGGGACGGCCGGAGAGGGCUGGCCCGCGCGGCGGGGGCGGCGGUCGGGCUCCGGGCGCGCGUCCGUCCGAGGGCGGCACGCGGGGCGGCUCGGUGUCGGAGGGGUUGCGCCCUGACCGGGGCUCCCGCCGGGCUCGGCCGACCUGGCGAGAUGUGA